GCACAAGUAGCUCAGCGUCAGAGCACCGGUCUUGUAAGCCGGACGUCGGAGGUUAAAGCCCCCCCUUUUGCU
rnacentral:tRNA from 1 species